rnacentral:rRNA from 1 species
UGGGGAAUUUCGGACAAUGGGCGCAAGCCUGAUCCAGCAAUGCCGCGUGCAGGAUGAAGGCCUUCGGGUUGUAAACUGCUUUUGUACGGAGCGAAAAGGUCUGCCCUAAUACGGUGGGCUCAUGACGGUACCGUAAGAAUAAGCACCGGCUAACUACGUGCCAGCAGCCGCGGUAAUACGUAGGGUGCGAGCGUUAAUCGGAAUUACUGGGCGUAAAGCGUGCGCAGGCGGUUAUAUAAGACAGAUGUGAAAUCCCCGGGCUCAACCUGGGAACUGCAUUUGUGACUGUAUAGCUAGAGUACGGUAGAGGGGGAUGGAAUUCCGCGUGUAGCAGUGAAAUGCGUAGAUAUGCGGAGGAACACCGGUGGCGAAGGCAAUCCCCUGGACCUGUACUGACGCGCAUGCACGAAAGCGUGGGGAGCAAACA